rnacentral:misc_RNA from 1 species
AACGCACAUUGCGCCCCCAGGUAUUCCUGGGGGCAUGCCUGUCCGAGCGUCAUUCACACCACUCAAGCACUGCUUGGUCCUGGGGCUCGCUCGCACGUAGCGACCCCUAAAUCCAGUGGCGGCGGCUCCCUACCCUCCAGCGCAGUAUCACACCUCGCUCCGAGAACGGGAGGCGCCAGCCAGCCAGCCCCUACAGGUUGACCUCGGAUCAGGUAGGAAUACCCGCUGAACUUAA